AAUCAACGCUGGCGGCGUGCCUCAGACAUGCAAGUCGAACGAUUAAAGCUCUCUUCGGAGAGUGUAUAGAGUGGCGCACGGGUGAGUAACACGUAAGUAAUCUACCUUCGAGUGGGAAUACCGUCCGGAACGGACGCUAAUACCGCAUAAUGCAGCGGCAUCGUAAGAUGACAGUUGUUAAAGUAUUUUAUUCGCUUGAAGAGGAGCUUGCGGCAGAUUAGCUAGUUGGUAAGGUAAUGGCUUACCAAGGCUACGAUCUGUAACCGGUCUUAGAGGACGGUCGGUCACACUGACAUUGAAUAACGGGUCAGACUCCUACGGGAGGCAGCAGUCGGGGUAA
rnacentral:rRNA from 1 species